UGGGGAAUAUUGCACAAUGGAGGGAACUCUGAUGCAGCGACGCCGCGGGAGUGAUGAAGGAAUUCGUUUCGUAAAACUCUGCUCUAUGGGAAGAAAAGGACUGUACCAUAGGAGAAAGCUCCGGCUAAAUACGUGCCAGCAGCCGCGGUAAUACGUAUGGAGCGAGCGUUGUCCGGAAUUAUUGGGCGAAAAGGGUGCGCAGGCGGCUUUACAAGUUGGAUGUGAAAUAUUGUGGCUCAACCACAAACGUGCAUCCAAAACUGCAAAGCUUGAGUUAAGGAGAGGUAAGGGGAAUUCCUGGUGUAGCGGUGGAAUGCGUAGAUAUCAGGAGGAAUACCGGUUGCGAAAGCGACUUACUGGACUUAAACUGACGCUCAGGCACGAAAGCGUGGGGAGCAAACAGG
rnacentral:rRNA from 1 species